rnacentral:lncRNA from 1 species
ACCAGUGUGUCCAGUCAGGGUGUCUGUGUUGACCCCUCUCUCUCACUCAGGUGGAGACAGUCAUAGACCCUCAGUACAUGUUGUCUGGUGCCUGUCUGGACGAAAGAGCUGUCUCUCCCUCACUUCAGGAGCCAUACAUAGCAGAUAGGAGUGUGACUGAGGAAGGCCCACAUGGGUGCUGUGCUCCCCCUAGUGUCUGCUCAGGUAUUGCACCUCUGAGCUUGGACUUCUGCUCCCAGGAGGCCCCUCCAGACUCCCCGGACAGCUGCGGGCCCCAUCGUGCAGUUCCCAGCUUCCUGCUGCCCACCCCUCCUCAGACAGUUCUCCAGGGGGAACUUCCUGCCCUGCGGGACAAUCUGAGCUCCCAGAAGACACACCCCUGUUUUCAGGCCACGCCCAGCAGCUCCCUAGAAACCUUCCCUUUGCGUGAGAACUACAGUAUCCAGCAUGCACCUUGCCCUGCCCAGUCACAAGCUUCAGCACCACAGGCAGAUGUAUGGCCAAGGACGUCCACUUCCCAGAAGGCCCCCAUCAUGUUUCAGAAGGAAGACCACGUCCCCCCAUCCACAUCUGCAGUCUUGUGGGACACAGACAGGUUCGGAACUGGACUCCACGUCCCACAAGAGGACUGCAGUGCACAGAAUUCCUUCCCAGGGGCGCCUGGACCCCUGUGCGUACAAGACGACUACAGCUCCCAGCAUGCACCUGCGAGUGGCCUGCUGACUUAUGAGACCGCCCACACAGGCGUUUGUCUUCGGCAGCCUGGCUUCACCCCACGUUGUCGUCUGCCCCCUCUGCUGCAGACUUACAGCACCUACCCGGGUGUCUUGGCAGGGAACUACGCCUCCCAUAAUUCCUUCUCAUACAUGCCAGAGAACUACAAUUCCCAGGGUGCACCUCCUGACCGCCUGCAGGUUUCUGUGCCUGGUGACGGCCUCUGCACUGUGGAGGGAAGCUCCGGUUUUGACCAUGAACUCUUCCGUCACUUUGGGAACGGCAGUCCCCACAGCGUCCCUCUCGGCAACCAACACGUCUGCAGACCUCAGGCUGUACGGCUUGUGUUUCAGGGGAGCCACAGUUCAGCUGAAGCUCAGCAGCUGGUCUCGUCAAUGCAUCAGCGCAGCUCCCAGGGUGCACCGGGAUCCCCUCAGCCCCUGGCUGGGCCGGGGGCCUAUGUUUCCCAGCACGACCCAUCCAGCUGCCUGCUGAGCUACAACCCCCACUACAGCCCUGUCAGUCCAGCCCAGGCGCUUCCUUCCAGCGAAAACGCAUGGAUCCUUAUUGAAAAUUACAGCUUCCAGAAUGCAAUUCCUGUGGUCCUGGGGAAAGCCCACCCCCAGCAAGCACCUUUCAGCCAAGAGGCGAUGUCGACCGUCCCACAGACUGCAACAAAUCCCAAAACAAACGGCACGUCACAGGACC